CACAGGCAGCUCCAAGCUCACCCAGGACCCGACCACUCACAUCCCCGGCCCCGGCCCCGGUGUACGGAGGGAGUCUGCUGCCCCCCUGAGGCCCCCUGCAGGCUGGCCGGGGCACAUGUGUCGGGGCUUAGUCGGGAGCCCUCAGGAUUUCAGGAAGCUGCUGGGGUGUCUGGUUGCCCCCGGGGCCAGGUUCACACUGUCCCCGCGGGGCCAUCGGUCUCCGCCUCAUCACGUUUCUGCCUUUUAAACCCAAGCCCCGUUAACUAAAGGUCAGCCCACAGCUCAGCAAUCAAGGUUCUCUGCUUUCUUUCUAAUCCCUGAAUUCGGGGGUGGAUUUCCAGAAGUUCAGCUCCACAAGAGCUGGGUUUUUCUCCAGGAGUCCUGAGCCUUGUCUGUAGGAAUGGGGGCCUCCUGGGCCGCUGAGGAGCUUCCACCUCUCCCAGGGCCUCUGCCCUCUGCCUACACCUCCGGGCGCCCUCCUCUCGCUCUGCACCCACCGCGCACCCCACCCUCAGGUCCCACCUGCUGUCUCACUGUCGGAGCUGCCUGCCAGGUCCCUUCACACUGCUGCCCUGAACAUGCUUCUAAACCAACUGCAAGACCUUCUUUUAUCGGAGUCCUCCAACAGGCCUUAGGAGGCAGCGGGAGGCAGGGCAGGUGGCAGUGUCUGGCACGUGAGCAAGCUGCUGGGAGCGGUGCAGGCCUGCUCCACCCUCCACACCGGCCUGUCAGCCGCUUGCUUCACUAAGACAGCCUUUGGGAGCCGAUGCAUGGGCAGGUUCUGCAGAAAAGAGGAGCCUCUGAAAAGCCUCAGCCCCUCAGAGCAGCCUUCGGGGGACUCUCGGUGGCAUACAGAACUCCGGUCCUUAAGUGCCCUCAAAUGGAGACCUCGCUGGGGAUGCGGAGGCCAGGGUGAAGGAGAACGCCAGAGCAGAGUGACGUUUCUUGGUGAACAGUCGCAGAGAGGUACCAAGUGCUUCGCCCAGGACUUGGAAGUCAGGAGCCCCGUGGAGAAAGCCUGGUGGAAG